rnacentral:rRNA from 1 species
GAUGAACGCUAGCGGCAGGCCUAACACAUGCAAGUCGAGGGGUAUAUAGUGCUUGCACUAUAGAGACCGGCGCACGGGUGCGUAACGCGUAUGCAAUCUACCUUGUACAGGGGAACAGCCCAGGGAAACUUGGAUUAAUGCCCCAUGGUAUUAUUUUGUAGCAUUACAUUAUAAUUAAAGAUUUAUCGGUACAAGAUGAGCAUGCGUCCCAUUAGUUAGUUGGUGAGGUAACGGCUUACCAAGACAACGAUGGGUAGGGGCCCUGAGAGGGGGAUCCCCCACACUGGUACUGAGACACGGACCAGACUCCUACGGGAGGCAGCAGUGAGGAAUAUUGGACAAUGGGCGAAAGCCUGAUCCAGCCAUGCCGCGUGCAGGAAGACGGCCCUAUGGGUUGUAAACUGCUUUUGUACGGGAAGAAACACCCCCACGUGUGGGGGCUUGACGGUACCGUAAGAAUAAGCAUCGGCUAACUCCG